rnacentral:rRNA from 1 species
AUUGAACGCUGGCGGCAGGCCUAACACAUGCAAGUCGAACGAGUGGCGGACGGGUGAGGAGUAGAUGGGAAACUGCCUGAUCGAGGGGGAUAACGACGGGAAACGUUAGCUAAUACCGCAUACGAUCAGCUGUGCCGAGGUGGGAUUAGCUCGUUGGUGGGGUAACGGCACACCAAGGCGACGAUCCGUAGCUGGUCUGAGAGGAUGACCAGCCACACUGGAACUGAGACACGGUCCAGACUCCUACGGGAGGCAGCAGUGGGGAAUAUUGGACAAUGGGCGCAAGCCUGAUGCAGCCAUGCCGCGUGGGUGAAGAAGGCCUUCGGGUUGUAAAGCACUUUUGUUGGGAAAGCGGUACCCAAAGAAGAAGCACCGGCUAACUCCGUGCCAGCAGCCGCGGUAAUUC